GAUCAUGGCUCAAAUUGAACGCUGGCGGCAGGCCCAACAUAUGCAAGUCAAACGGCAGCGGGGGAUAGCUUGCUAUCCUGCCGGCGAGUGGCGGACGGGUGAGUAAUGCAUGGGGAGCUGCCCAAUCGAGGGGGAUAACAACUGGAAACGGUUGCUAAUACCGCAUACCCCCUGCGGGGGAAAGGUGGGGACCUUCGGGCCUACCGCGAUUGGAUGCACCCAUGUGGGAUUAGCUAGUUGGUGAGGUAACGGCUCACCAAGGCGACAAUCUCUAGCUGGUCUGAAAGGAUGACCAGCCACACUGGAACUGAAACACGGUCCAAACUCCUACGGGAGGCAGCAGUGGGGAAUAUUGCACAAUGGGGGAAACCCUGAUGCACCCAUGCCGCGUGUGUGAAAAAGGCCUUCGGGUUGUAAAGCACUUUCAGUGGGGAGGAAGGGAUGAUGUCUAAU
rnacentral:rRNA from 1 species